rnacentral:rRNA from 1 species
UAAACCGUACUGAAAACCGACACAGGUGGUCAGGUAGAGAAUACUCAGGCGCUUGAGAGAACUCGGGUGAAGGAACUAGGCAAAAUAGCACCGUAACUUCGGGAGAAGGUGCGCCGGCGUAGCUUGUAGCGUCUUGCACGUGAAGGGUGAACCGGUCGAAGAUACCAGCUGGCUGCAACUGUUUAUUAAAAACACAGCACUCUGCAAACACGAAAGUGGACGUAUAGGGUGUGAUGCCUGCCCGGUGCUGGAAGGUUAAUUGAUGGUGUAAUCGAAAGAGAAGCUCCUGAUCGAAGCCCCAGUAAACGGCGGCCGUAACUAUAACGGUCCUAAGGUAGCGAAAUUCCUUGUCGGGUAAGUUCCGACCUGCACGAAUGGCAUAAUGAUGGCCAGGCUGUCUCCACCCGAGACUCAGUGAAAUUGAAAUCGCCGUGAAGAUGCGGUGUACCCGCGGCUAGACGGAAAGACCCCGUGAACCUUUACUAUAGCUUGACACUGAACAUUGAAUUUUGAUGUGUAGGAUAGGUGGGAGACUAUGAAGUAGGAACGCCAGUUUCUAUGGAGUCGUCCUUGAAAUACCACCCUUUAACGUUUGAUGUUCUAACGAAGAUUGCGGAACGCGGUCUCGGACAGUGUCUGGUGGGUAGUUUGACUGGGGCGGUCUCCUCCCAAAGUGUAACGGAGGAGCACGAAGGUUUGCUAAUGACGGUCGGACAUCGUCAGGUUAGUGCAAUGGUAUAAGCAAGCUUAACUGCGAGACAGACAAGUCGAGCAGGUACGAAAGUAGGUCAUAGUGAUCCGGUGGUUCUGCAUGGAAGGGCCAUCGCUCAACGGAUAAAAGGUACUCCGGGGAUAACAGGCUGAUACCGCCCAAGAGUUCAUAUCGACGGCGGUGUUUGGCACCUCGAUGUCGGCUCAUCACAUCCUGGGGCUGAAGUAGGUCCCAAGGGUAUGGCUGUUCGCCAUUUAAAGUGGUACGCGAGCUGGGUUUAGAACGUCGUGAGACAGUUCGGUCCCUAUCUGCCGUGGGCGUAGGAGAAUUGAUUGGGGCUGCUCCUAGUACGAGAGGACCGGAGUGGACGCACCACUGGUGUUCGGGUUGUGUCGCCAGACGCAUUGCCCGGUAGCUAAGUGCGGAAGAGAUAAGUGCUGAAAGCAUCUAAGCACGAAACUUGCCAAGAGAUGAGUUCUCCCAGACUUAGUGUCUGUAAGGGUUGUUGUAGACUACGACGUAGAUAGGUGGGGUGUGUAAGUGUAGUGAUACAUUGAGCUAACCCAUACUAAUUGCCCGAG